rnacentral:piRNA from 1 species
UCAGGGCACAGAUUUUGACAAACACGAG